rnacentral:rRNA from 1 species
GAUGAACGCUGGCGGCGUGCCUAAUACAUGCAAGUCGAGCGAACAGACGAGGAGCUUGCUCCUCUGACGUUAGCGGCGGACGGGUGAGUAACACGUGGAUAACCUACCUAUAAGACUGGGAUAACUUCGGGAAACCGGAGCUAAUACCGGAUAAUAUAUUGAACCGCAUGGUUCAAUAGUGAAAGACGGUUUUGCUGUCACUUAUAGAUGGAUCCGCGCCGCAUUAGCUAGUUGGUGAGGUAACGGCUUACCAAGGCAACGAUGCGUAGCCGACCUGAGAGGGGGAUCGGCCACACUGGAACGGAGACACGGUCCAGACUCCUACGGGAGGCAGCAGUAGGGAAUCUUCCGCAAUGGGCGAAAGCCUGACGGAGCAACGCCGCGUGAGUGAUGAAGGUCUUCGGAUCGUAAAACUCUGUUAUUAGGGAAGAACAAAUGUGUAAGUAACUAUGCACGUCUUGACGGUACCUAAUCAGAAAGCCACGGCUAACUACGUG